CAGUACUUUUGCUAUCAGAACGCAAGUGAUGCUGUCGGUAUUAAUGGAACAAUUUACGUCCGAAUACAGAACUUCAAAAAUACUACAUUGCCACCCUUGUGCGAUAGCGCCGAGCGAGUGGCAAAAAUGAACGAUACACAUUAUAAUUUCACUUUCGCUGCGGUGGUUCCUAUGUUCUCAAAUGAUACACUCGUAAAGUUCAACACGUCGCUGGUUCUUUCAAAGACUGGAAAUCACGAGGAGUUCAAUGCUAUGACAUUCCGCUACUCAUCGUUGGAAGGUCCAAAGCUCAGAAAGCUGAUGUAUAUGACGGUGGAACAAGAUUGUAUGAUAUUUGUGGAUAACCGAACGGAUACGGAAGAUGCAA